rnacentral:lncRNA from 1 species
UCCCGAGGCGUUAAAAGGAGCCCGAGACCUCCUCCUCCGCCCUAGGGUUCCCUCUCCUUUCCUCCCCAGCGCCGCCAGUUUCCCUAGUGCCCUCGUUCUUCCCUGGUAAGUCCUGAGAGAGAGCAGAGAGAGAGGGUGCAGCGCCUCCCCCGUCAAGCCGCCGAUCCGUCGUCUCCGGCACUGGGCGCCAUGUCCGGGGGCUCGGGGUGAGUCCCCGCGUCCCAUUCCCGGCGCUAGGACCCCGAGGAGCGGCCCCCCCCGUCGAGCUCGUCCUCGUCAACGGGACGAACCGGGCGAUCCGCGUCCGUCUCCUUCUUCGGUCUUCGGCGGGACGACUUCGUCCGGCCGUCUUCUUCCUCUCCGACGCUCCUCCUCCCCGUUCGACGCCCCUCUUCUCCUCAAGGUGAGGCCGCGUCCUCGUCCUCCUUCCUUCCGCCUCCGCGGUCCGGCUCGUUCCAGCGUGUGUGCAUUUCUCUGUCCGAUAGUUGUGUGUGGGGGUGCAGUUGUCGCGAGUGGAGCAGGGUGGGGUAGGUAUGUUAUGGAGGUACCGUGCAGGAGAGGGCUUCCUCCCCCUCUCUGCAGCAGCGCCAUGAUCAGAGGAGCUCUCCUCGCCGCCGGCAGCUGGGGUCGUGUCACCUAGGUCUCGGUAGGCGUAUAUCAUCAGAGAAGAGCUUGCAGUUUGCACAGGGUUUCCUCCCCGCGUAGGUGGGCACCCAGCAGGUGCGGGUCUUCUCCUCGCGUCCCUCAGCGCCGAAUGCAUGAGCUCCACGCCGGCCGUGCAGCGUAGCGACGCAGGCAGGGCUGCCCGUCAAGCUCUCUGUCCCGUGCUCCCAGGCGAACUGCAGGAUGCAGGAACGCCGCUGCAGUUCAAGGCAGCCAAAGGGUGCUCCUUCUCCCGUGCUUAGACCAAAAAUGGGUUCCCCGAGAGUCCCGCGGGCCCCGCCGUCGGUUUUCCCCGCCGGUGGUGGCCGGGAGUGGCGCCGCCAGCGUCCUCCGGUCUGGCCGCCGGCGGGAUGCUUCUCGUGAGAGGCGUGUUCUUCUGUUUUACCUUCUAGUGUUAGUCAGACGCCGGUUCGUAGCCUGAUGGUAGUGUCUCUCGGUCGCAUGCAUGCGCCUGUUGAGAGGUCUAGGGAUCGAGUCCCCCCCUCGGCGCCUUUUUGGUUGUUUUCCUUGUUUAUUUCGGGUCAUGGCAGUGCAGACAGAUUACCUUGCAUAUCUCCCUUCAUCUGUCAACAAGAAGCACCGUAGCGCUGUGGCGUGGUUGUGUGGUGCUGGACACCAGGGAACUGGGUUCGAACCCCAGCAGCCCUGUUUCUUUUUUUUAUUUUUAUUUUUGCAUUCUUUUCUUUUUCCUGCCUACUCAUUUCCUGUUUUCCUAACUCCUACACUUGUGUCUCAUCAGUUUUGUUCCCUGUUGUUUUUUUAUUUUACAAAUUCCUACGCAGUGGUGAUUGCUCCUGUUCCUGCUAGAAUAGUGGUAUAGAUUUAGUGUGAGAAUGUUUUACAUGCUAGGGGUGUUAAAUAGUUUUGCUAGCCGGUGAUUCUUAUAGUGGUUGUACCUUGGUGAUGAGGAGCCAACCCUGAUUAGGGCAUGUUGCUAGGUGCCUUGUUAAGUAUGGGUGUAGUGUUUGGAGGUGAUUAGUUGGCCUAGCUAUUCUUGCAAAGCCCUAGCUUGUGAAUCUUGGUGUGGUCUAAGGGAUAUUGUAGUUUUGUUAGCUUGCUUUGACAUAGUGGGGUGUGGGUGCCUCCCCCUCAUCACAUGUCUUGAGGUGAGGGAUGGCACUAGAUAGCUAUUUAUGAUAGCAUGUGAGGGUGUGGUUUGUUGUGGUAGUUUGCACAAUGUUGGUGACAUGAAUACUAGAAAGAUACUAGUGGUGCUUGGGAGGGUGUGCACCAUCACAUGCCCAUGUGUGGGGGGUGGUAUACCCUUUUGUUAUACAAAGAUUUCUUGUGUGUGAGCUUGAUGCUAGUGCUUGAGAGGAUUUGUGUGUGUGUUGGAGUUGUUGAUGUGCAUGACACAAACAUGGGGUUCAAAACCCCAUGUCACUUUGUCAUUGUGCACAUGAAACCCUCCUAUGCAUUGUCAUCUUAAAAGUAUACCUUUUGGAUUUGCAUUUUUCAUUUUGUUGAAAGUUUGGGCUUUGUUUCCAUGGUAUAGAUGGAGCCCAAAGGCAUGGAUCUUGGUGUGUUAGUUGUAGGGGUUUGUGCUCAAUACCAUAGUGGUGUCAAACACCUCUUGGGAACUUGUGUGUGCAAACUAUGCCUAGACAAAGUGGGCAUGUGGCUGGAAAAAUUCCAGAAUUUUGAACUCUGAAAAUUUCACUAAGUCUGGAAUGCUGAAAACAUUUUCUUCCCCUGUAGAUAAGGUUGUGCAGGUCAGUAUGUUGAGAACUGGACUUAGUUCAGUGCUAGUGUUUUGAACCUGGUAUGUUUGUGCAGCUUCCUGUCAAUUUUCAAGUCAUUUGGAGUCCAGUAGCUUGUGUUUUGAUUGCUGUCAAAAGGCUUCAGAACAGAAACAGAAACUCAGGUGCAGAAAUUUUCACUAAGUCCCUGAGAACUGAUGGUUCUGGGAAAGUUUGUGGCCUUGUAACUUCUAGAUUUUAAUUCCUUUUGCUGUGAUUCUUGCUGGAGAUGGUAGUGUUCUUGGUUGUCAACAUCCACAUAUAUUAUUUGUCAUGUUUGAAGACCUGUAGCUAUGUUGCAUGUGGCUCACAAACAGCUAAGAUGCAGAAACUGGCAG